AAGGAAGUUAGAUAACAGAAGAUUCUCAUUUCAUAGCAAAACUCUUUAAGUUCACAACAUGACAGAGACUUUGGUGGGAAUUUCAACUUACCAGAACUCCCAUGAUUCCAACACCUAUUACUAUAUAUAUAAGGACAACAUUAUAAGUAAAACACAUAUUUUCAUUGUUAAUAUCCUACCAAACCAGCUUUUAACCCAACACCAAAACCAAAACAAACACCCAAAAUACAAGACCAACUCCAGCAAACCCAAUUCUCCUAGCACCCGAAAACCAUACUCGAACAUCAUCCACCACCGGUCCACACAGGGAGCUCAUAUCGUCAGUUCUGGUAUUGUAGUACACACUGUAGAAUGCAAUCCGGGUUCUCUCAGCUUUGGCAGUGAAGUUCAAAUUACAAGUUUGAAAGGUAGAAUUAGAAUCGGGUGUAUAAUGGAUGUUCUGGGCCUGAUCUCCAGCGAAGGCCAUAAUUGCCAUGGGUUGCUUGCAUUUGUCCCCAGCAUGGCCCAAGGAAAAUGUCAUGGUGUAUGGCUUAUUUGGCGUUGUUUCAACCAUUUGGGAAAUUAUUCCUUCCUUGCCUGAGAGUAAUUCCAUGGCACGUUUGCCUUCUGGAACUGAGAAAUGGUAGGAAUCAAUAUAGCGAACAGCCCUGUUGGAUUCCACAGUCCAACCAGGCAAUGAAGUGAUUUCUUCGUCCAGGUUGGUGGGCAGCAACACCCCUAGUGAAACGUUUCUAAACAUCCACGGACCUUCCUCAAAGUCACCAUUUAGUACUGCAUUGUCUUUGGGUUUAUCAGGAGCAAAAAGCUUCUUGAUGGCAAUGUCAUCAAUGAUAGGCCCACAAGAGGGAUCAUCCUCCAUGCCCAAAUUCCUAAAAAUCAAAUUCGCUUGAUCCUCCUCCGCCUCAAAAGCCCACGCGUAAGGGUCCCACCCUUGCACAUUGUACAAUGUCUGCAAGUCUAUUGUUUGUGAUGCAGGUGGCACUGAUACGUUUAGUGACUCCAGCUGAGCGCACGUGCGAGCCGCACUAAAAGUCACCGAGUAAAUAGACCCUUUCUCCACCGUAAAUACUUGGCUUAUCUCUGCAUCGUUGCCCAAUCUCACUGCGUGUGUACCACCUGGGACGAUGAGGAUCAUCCCACCUUGUUUUUGGCCCGAAGAGACGAGCUCCACUGUGCCCCUUAAUUUCCAACUGGGGAUUUCGAUGGAGCCGUCCGCUAUGGCGUCGCUAGGGAAACCAUUCGAUGGCGGCGUUUCAAAAUCACCGUUAGCCACCAAUCCAUCUUGUCCUAAUAUUGCAGUAGCAAACAAAGCGAAGAAGAGAAUAACAGAACAAGCGAACCAUUUGCUUCUGGUUGAGCUUUGCACCAUCUUACUAUUUCUCGGGCAAGCACUCUCGCUCUCUCUCACCCUCUCUCUCACUGAAAGUGGGUGUGUAUGGACAGUAUUUUUUGGAGAGAAU
rnacentral:misc_RNA from 1 species